UAUUGACGACGUCUUACCUGACAAUAUUGGACAUAAAUACUAUCAUUUUUAAAUAGUUUUCCAACUCUAAUACUGUCAGGUAAUGAUGUCCGAUAGAG
rnacentral:pre_miRNA from 1 species